rnacentral:rRNA from 1 species
AUGGUCUUGGACGAACUUGUCAAGCAAGGUUCAUCUGGCUCUGCUUCAUCCACCAACAAAAAAUUGUCUCCUCCUACAAAGGUUGACCAUACCACUUUGACAAUUUCUGCAAGAAUGAUUCUUGAUAUUAUGUUGGAGUAUCUUGGGAUUCCUAAAGCUAUUUAUCAGAGAAGGAUCUACUCGCAGAACACAAUAUCUGUCACUAUACUUUUCUAUACCUCUACUCACAGCGCUGGUGCUUCUCCAUCACAAAUGAUUAUUACAGGGGUUCGAUCUGCCAACGAAGAGAUAGCAGAGGAUCCCGCUGCGGUGGAGGCUUUAGAUACAUGGAACGCGCUACAGGUGUUGUUGUGA